ACAACAGUUGGAAACGACUGCUAAUACCGCAUACGAUCUAAUCUCGGCAUCGAGGAUAGAUGAAAGGUGGCCUCUACAUGUAAGCUAUCACUGAAGGAGGGGAUUGCGUCUGAUUAGCUAGUUGGAGGGGGUAACGGGCCCACCAAGGCGAUGAUCAGUAGCCGGUCUGAGAGGAUGAACGGCCACAUUGGGACUGAGACACGGCCCAGACUCCUACGGGAGGCAGCAUG
rnacentral:rRNA from 1 species